GCAGACUGGAAAAAAAGAAAGGAGUAAUACUUUGAAUAUUGCUAUAGACAACAUGUGCAAGAAGACAAGAGACCUUCGUAGACAGGUGAGGGAAGAGAGAUUUGGACACAGAAACAAGCAUGUGAAAUUAGGCUUUUGUUUAUUGUUGAAAUAUUUAUUUCUUGUUUCUGUUCUUUUAAAAUUAACUUAGAAGAAAAAACAAGAACAGUAAGUAUAUAAUUUCCACAUUUAUAUACCUCAAAUGUUUUUGUGGCAAACAUAAAAUAGAAAAAAGAAUGUGUUUCCUUAUGUCGUGCAAAAUUACAUUCAAAUCCUAGCUGUGUUCUCAUCAGUUCUGAAAUCUCAGGCACAGAUUUCAUCUCUCUGAGCUUCUCUGAAGCUAUGAAAUGGAAUUAAUAAUAUACGAUAGAGCUGACUGGUACACAGUGAGUUUUCAGUGCAUGUUGGUAAAUUGAUUUUAUGACAUUAAAAACUGAGUUGAGUUUAUCAUCCAAAUGCUUAUAGAAAACAACUAGUAAUUCAAAAUAAUCCAAUUCCCUCUUCAGAUUAUUUUUAGGAUUCUUCACAAAUUUGUUUCUAUUCAAGUUAAGGCUGCUUUUUCACCUUGGGUCAUCAGGAAUUUAGGAUUAGAAAGGAUUUAAUUAAACAAUUUAUAAGUCCAAUAUUAUGCCUAUCAAAAGAUACAAAAUUUUCCAGAAGCAUGAAGACUUAGCUAAUUUCAAAAACAUUUGCUUUACAUUCCUUUUCACUAUUAAAUAAUUGAACUUCUUUAUGUACAACUUUUAACAUGGUUACCAUUAACUCAUAAAAGAAAGGCAAAUGCUUUUUGACUAAAAGCCUUUUUUUAAAAAGAAAUAUUUUUUAGUUGUCAAUGGACCUUUAUUUUAUUUAUUUAUAUGUGGUGCUUAGAAUCAAAUCCAGAUUCUAAUAUCAAAUCACAUAUGCUAGGCAAGCACUCUACCACUGAGCUACAACCCUAGCCCUCAACCAAAAGCUUUUUUUUUUUUUUUUGAGAGAGAGAGAGAGAGAGAGAGAGAGCGAGAGAACUUUUUUAAUAUUUAUAUUUUAGUUUUUGGUGGACACAACAUCUUUAUUUUUUUUAAUUUUUAUGUAGUGCUGAGGAUCGAACCCAGCACCCCACGCAUGCCAGGCGAGCGCGCUACCGCUUGAGCCACAUCCCCAGCCCCAACCAAAAGCUUUUAAUGCAAUAUUUUAUCAUAGUUAAUGGGAAGAUUUAGUUAAAUGGUUGGGUGAUUGUUUGUUUAAUUCAGAUGUAGAUUUGGAAAUGGAAUAAAUAAGGAUCUCCAGACAGUUAACAUUAGAUGUGUAAAAACACAAUUUUAAAUUAAAGUCUGUGAAAAUCCCAAUUUCUUAAUUUUAUGGCCUUAAUGUAAAUUCCAUUUCUACUGUCAGUCCUUAGAAUCAUGGGAUUGAAGCAUUGAAAGGGACUUAUUAGCACAACCUGUUUUACAAUGCAGAUGAGAAAACAGGUCAGAGUGAUGGAGGUGACUUGCAUAAGGAGGAAGGGGCACUGAGUUAGCACCUACACUAGAACUCAGGAGAAACGGGACUCUUAACCUCAGAGCUGUCAUCUCUCUUUGUUGAAUAAUUUUUACUCUCUGUCUUCAAAAUUUCUACCUCAUUUGUUCCUUGUAGGACUUGUAAGAGCUAUUUCUGUGAACUGCCAACAUUGGUAUCUCCUGUUCCUGACUUUUCCAUCUAUAUUGCAUUCAACAAAUUUGGGCAUAAAGAGCUUAUCUACAUUCAUACCUCCAAAGCUUUUGAAGUAAUUAUUUUUCAAAAAAAACAAAAUUCCUCUCAUGUUGAAUUACUAGAUUUAGCAAAUAAAAGCAAACUAUGCCCAGUUAAAUUUGAAUUUCAGAUUAGCAACAUACGUUAUUUUAAUAUAAUUAUGUUCCAAUUAUUGCAUGGAACUUACUUAUAUUAAGAAAAUAGGGGCUGUGGCUGUGGCUCAGUAGUAGAGUGCUUGCCUAGCACGUGCAAGGUGCUGGGUUCGAUCCUCAGCACCACAUACAAAUAAAUAAAUAAAAUAUUGUGUCCAACAACAACUAAAAAAAUUUUAAAAAAUAGUUUUGUUUAUCUGUAAUUCAAAUGUAACUUGGUGUCCUUUAUUUUAUCUUGAAAUUAUACUUGCUGCCAUCUGAGAUAUAGAACUAGCAUAAGAAUUACUAAUACUCCAGAACUGAUGUGUUCUGGAGGCAUGAUUAUUCCAUAUUGUUUCACUGGUCAAUAAUUCUCUUGUUUCAGUUUUCCACUAAUGUGUAAUAAAUUACCAUAAACAACAGCAACCAUGAUUCCAUCUCAUGUUUUCAGAGGUUUGCUGGGAAUCCCCAGAGCUAUUUCUGUACUUUUUUCACUUAUGAUUUCCCAGGUAGUGGUAGUCAAAUGGUGACUGUGGCUGGGUCCAAGACUGGGUGCUUCAGGCCAUGGUGCUUCCUCCUGUUCCCUCUCUCCAUGUGGUGUCUAAUCUUCUAUGGCCCCUUUAUGUGUUUACUAACUCCAGUAAGGUAUCUUGAAUUUAUCAUGUGGUAGUUCAAGGUAUCAAUAAAGAAGAGUUGGAAGCUGCCUGGUCUUCUUAAUGCCUAAACUCCAAAGUCACAGAAAUUAAUUUCCUCUACAUUUUACAGGUUAACAUAUUCAUAGACCUUACCCUAGGUCAAAAGUACAGGAAGAAGCUUUAUCUCUUAUAGGAGAAAAAGUCUGUGUGUACAUGAAUAUGUGGAAUUGUUAAGAAGUCAUGUUUAUUAUCAAAGUUGGUGAUAUAAGUUACUAUGAUUCUUUCUCAUUAUCCUCACUGGGCCCCAACCUAGUACUUCCAUUCCAUCCUGAUGUUUAUACCUUUGGUAGUAAUAAAAAUUCAUUUAUUACACUUCCACCUCUUAUUAUUGUAAAGCUUAUUUAACAAUUUAAACAUUUACAUAUACACUUACAAAGAUAAAGCCCUACCUUAAAUUGUUUUUCUUUGAUGUUAUGGUUUGGAUAUGGGGGAUCCUCCAAAGGCUCCUGUGUUAAAACAGGGAUUUUCAGAGGGUGAAAUGAUUAUAUUAUGAAGGUCAUUAGUCAAUGCUAGUGUGAAUGUACUGACUGGGUAGUAACUGUAGGCAGGUAGGGUGUGGCUGGAGGAGUUGUGUCACUGGGAGCAUGCCCUGAAAGGGCUCAUCUUUCCUGAAGCUCUCCUACCCCCUCUCUCUCUGCAUCCUGGCCACCAUGUUCUGAGCUAUUUUAUUCUGCCAUACUCUUCUGCCUCAUCUAAGGCCAGAGCAAUGGAAUUGGCUGACCAUGAACUGAGCCCCUGAAACCAUAAGGCAAAAUAAACUUUUCUUCCCCUAAGUUGGUCUUUUGGAUAUGUUGGUGACAGUGAUGAAGAGCUGACUAAGAUGUUUGGAUUAUUUAACAUUCAUCUCUUGCUCUAGAACUAGUUUUACUUUUAAUAAUAAAAAAAUAAAAUCAAGUCUUCCCUCCAUUCAUCCUCAUCCCCUUUCUUAAUCAUGGCAUUUUCAUCAGUAACAGAAACAGUUUAGUUUUGGAUUCAGAGAAUAAUUGGACCUUCUCUAUAAGGAAUGACAUAGAUUGCUUAGAAGUAUCUGAAGAUGAACUACAUUUUGGGGCAUUGAAGUGGAAUAAUCUAGGAGAUGAUAGAGUAUACAUUAGUUUCAACUUUCUUGCUCAAUGAUUUUCUUGCCUAUUUUAUUAUAGAACAAACACAAAAGUCCUUAGCAUGAUGUUCUAGGUCUCAACUGACAUCCUAUUAUUCUUUUUUAAAAAAUUUGUUCUAAUUAGUUAUACUUGACAGUAGAAUGCAUUUUGACACAUCAUACAUAGAUGGAGUAUAACUUAUUCUUCUGAUUGUACACAAUAUAGACUUACGCUAGUUGUAUAAUCAUAUAUGCAUCCAGGGUAAUAAUGUCCAGUUCAUUCCUAUCCCAUAGCCUUUCCCUAUUGCUCUUUAACGUUCUCACUCCUUUGGCUCUCCUUCUCAAUUCCUCACCUCAUCCCAUCAAUACUUUCACCUGUUCUCUGGCAAACACAUGUUUAUGAUCAGCAUGUUUAUGGAAUGUUCAUGAUAGGUUUAGCUUGGUACUUUCUCCAUGAUUAUUUACCCCUUUUAAUUACUAAUCAACUAAGUAAGUUGAACAGUAGGGCCAAUCCUUCUUCUCCCAUGAAACAAUUGCUAUUUUCAUCAGUGAGAAUUACUAUUUUUCUUCUGGAGUACUUACAGAGGGUACACUUCUAUUAUAACAGUGAUCUCUAAUCUGCUUGUAGUUUGUGUUUUUUUUCUUUUUAAAAGAAGUUUCUUCCCAGUGGAUUAAAAGCCCUUGUAAUUAUAAUUAUGACAACAUCUCUAAUUUAGUAAACAAUUGCCUGAACUCUCUACCAAGUGUACUCUGUAUAUUAUUUAUUUUUAGCCCUAAAAUAAGAAAUAACUCCAUGGUAUUAUUAUCUUUCAAGUGAAUCAUGUUUCCAAACAUCAUCUAGCCAACUGGUAGAGCCAAUUUUAGUCCAGGUCCAGCAACCCCAGCACAAGUUUGUCACCACUAUAAGAACUGGGUACAAUGGCUUCAGAGCACCCAGAUCCUCAUAUAUUGAUUUUACAAUCAUAAAUUCUUUUCUCCCUUAUUACUUAUUUUACAUGCUUUCAAAAAUUUAACUUGCCUUCUUUCAAUUACCUCCUUUCCUCCCAUCUUUUAUUUGAGAUCUGAAUAUCUAUUGGAAUGCUCAAUGAAGGAUAAAGAAUUUUAAACAUAUCACUUCAUUAAAAAUGAAAAUGAGUAUAAUACAAUUCAUUGUAUUAUGAAGAUUAAGGUGCAUAUUUGAUUUCACUAAAAGGAGGCUAUAAUUUUUAUUUGUAUAUAUAUAUUAACAAAAAUGCAUUAUAUUUCAUAGACACCAAAGUAAGUUUGGGGUACAUCCAAAAGUUCUGAUUAAAAACAAAUAAAACCAAAAAAUCAUUCUUUUUUGGUAGUGGAUAUUGAGUGCAGAUCUGUUCUAUCAUGGAGCUACAUCUUCAUCUGUUAUAGUUUUUAUUUUGAGAUAGGAUCUGGCUAAAUUGCUUAAAGUAUUACAAAGUUUCUGAGGCUGGCCUUGAACUUGCAAAUCAUCCUGACUCAGCCUUUCUUUAAUUACUGUCAUAAAUGAUUUGCCUUUUUGCAUGCUAAACAGACUCUUUGUGGAUAUUCCUAAAGUUUUUGUGAGGUUGUUGAUAGGCAGAAAUUUUCAGAAAUUUUCUGAGUGAUAUCUACCAUCUUGGACAAAGGUAUUUAUUUCACAGAAAUGUAUAAUUAUUAUGGAUUUAUUAUGUUAUAACUAUUAUAGGAAGAUAGUACUUCUUAAAAAUGCAGCUCUCUCAUUCAGCUACUUGAAAAUGUGCUACUGGUCAUUCUCACAUACUCUAAAAUUAGGCUGCUAUUGGCUUAAAAAGUACCCUAAAAUAUAAUUUCAACAGAAGGCAAACUACAAUUUUUCUAUCUGAUACUUAUUUAUCUCUUUGUUUUAUUGUAUAGAGUUUAUUAAACUAAAUGAGUGGGUUGAUUCAAAAACCUUUGGACCCAUUCAUAGUCAUUGACAUUGUUGCUGAAACAUUUUAGCAUAUUGUGAUACUUAAAGUCUCAAUAGCAUAUAAAUACAAUGAAUUAAUUUUCCAAUGUGGUUUUAAAUCUCAGAAAAUAUUUGCUGAGUUAAUUAUCUGAUUGUCAUUUAUAUGCUUACAUGUAAUCUAAUUUAAAAGUACUAAUUGUAGCAGAAUGUUAUGGUUUAAUAAUUUAAGGUAUGAGGGCAAGAACGAUUAAUGCAAAUGGAGAAAACUGGACAUCGAACUCAUUUAUUAUUCUCCUUGCUCUAUUAAUCUGUUAUCAUCUGGCACAAUUGGUGAUCUAACUUGGUUUAAUUACCAUGAAGUCUACAAUUUAGCUAAUCAAAAUUUAUCACCCAUUUCUCCAAUAAGAUAGAAAACAUUUUGUAAUUUUGUAAUUAUGAAAAUACAAGAUAUACAAAGAUAUUUGUACACAUGCAUAAACAUUCCAAUAAUGCAAUUUCUUUGAGGAAAAAGUAGAACAUUACCCCUUAUAAUCUGAUUCAUGGGCUAAAUAGAGUUUAAGAAAAAUUAGUGAUUUCUGAGAGCAAGGGAAUUAUUGCUGUAUGAUUUUUUUUCACCAGAUACAUUGUUUGUCUGACUUUUGUAGGGGAUAUUCAAAUAUAGUGUUGAAUAUUGUGAUUUUAGGAAUUGAAUUUUGUAACCAAUGAGAUUAAAGAUUAGGAAAUAGCAUGAACCUUUUCUGAAAAAAAAAACAAAAAAACAAAAAAACAAACUCUUGAAUUUUUAAUUUCUCCUCAGCUCCGCAAGGCUAUUAUAGAUCAUGUGUCAGACUCUUUCUUGGAUACAACAGUCCCACUUUUGGUUCUCAUUGAAGCUGCUAAGAAUGGUCGGGAAAAGGAAAUAAAAGAAUAUGCUGCAAUAUUUCAUGAACACACCAGCAGGCUUGUAGAGGUAAGCAUGCUAGAACUGUAACCGCUUUAAAUCCA
rnacentral:lncRNA from 1 species